rnacentral:rRNA from 1 species
CAGUAGCCGCGGUAAUACGUAGGUGGCAAGCGUUGUCCGGAAUUAUUGGGCGUAAAGGGCUCGCAGGCGGUUUCUUAAGUCUGAUGUGAAAGCCCCCGGCUCAACCGGGGAGGGUCAUUGGAAACUGGGAAACUUGAGUGCAGAAGAGGAGAGUGGAAUUCCACGUGUAGCGGUGAAAUGCGUAGAGAUGUGGAGGAACACCAGUGGCGAAGGCGACUCUCUGGUCUGUAACUGACGCUGAGGAGCGAAAGCGUGGGGAGCGGACAGGAUUAGAUACCCGGGUAGUCCCUGUCUCUUAUAA